CCUACGGGCGGCAGCAGUGAGGAAUAUUGGUCAAUGGACGCAAGUCUGAACCAGCCAUGCCGCGUGCAGGAAGACGGCUCUAUGAGUUGUAAACUGCUUUUGUACGAGGGUAAAUCCCGAUACGUGUAUCGGGUUGAAAGUAUCGUACGAAUAAGGAUCGGCUAACUCCGUGCCAGCAGCCGCGGUAAUACGGAGGAUUCAAGCGUUAUCCGGAUUUAUUGGGUUUAAAGGGUGCGUAGGCGGAACAUUAAGUCAGCGGUAAAAUCGAGGGGCUCAACCCCUUUAAGCCGUUGAAACUGGUGAUCUUGAGUGGGCGAGAAGUAUGCGGAAUGCGUGGUGUAGCGGUGAAAUGCAUAGAUAUCACGCAGAACUCCGAUUGCGAAGGCAGCAUACCGGCGCCCGACUGACGCUGAGGCACGAAAGCGUGGGGAUCGAACAGGAUUAGAUACCCUUGUAGUC
rnacentral:rRNA from 1 species